rnacentral:rRNA from 1 species
AUGAACGCUAGCUACAGGCUUAACACAUGCAAGUCGAGGGGCAGCAUGGUCUUAGCUUGCUAAGGCCGAUGGCGACCGGCGCACGGGUGAGUAACACGUAUCCAACCUGCCGUCUACUCUUGGACAGCCUUCUGAAAGGAAGAUUAAUACAAGAUGGCAUCAUGAGUCCACAUGUUCACAUGAUUAAAGGUAUUCCGGUAGACGAUGGGGAUGCGUUCCAUUAGAUAGUAGGCGGGGUAACGGCCCACCUAGUCUUCGAUGGAUAGGGGUUCUGAGAGGAAGGUCCCCCACAUUGGAACUGAGACACGGUCCAAACUCCUACGGGAGGCAGCAGUGAGGAAUAUUGGUCAAUGGGCGAGAGCCUGAACCAGCCAAGUAGCGUGAAGGAUGACUGCCCUAUGGGUUGUAAACUUCUUUUAUAAAGGAAUAAAGUCGGGUAUGCAUACCCGUUUGCAUGUACUUUAUGAAUAAGGAUCGGCUAACUCCGUGCCAGCAGCCGCGGUAAUACGGAGGAUCCGAGCGUUAUCCGGAUUUAUUGGGUUUAAAGGGAGCGUAGAUGGAUGUUUAAGUCAGUUGUGAAAGUUUGCGGCUCAACCGUAAAAUUGCAGUUGAUACUGGAUAUCUUGAGUGCAGUUGAGGCAGGCGGAAUUCGUGGUGUAGCGGUGAAAUGCUUAGAUAUCACGAAGAACUCCGAUUGCGAAGGCAGCCUGCUAAGCUGCAACUGACAUUGAGGCUCGAAAGUGUGGGUAUCAAACAGGAUUAGAUACCCUGGUAGUCCACACGGUAAACGAUGAAUACUCGCUGUUUGCGAUAUACAGCAAGCGGCCAAGCGAAAGCGUUAAGUAUUCCACCUGGGGAGUACGCCGGCAACGGUGAAACUCAAAGGAAUUGACGGGGGCCCGCACAAGCGGAGGAACAUGUGGUUUAAUUCGAUGAUACGCGAGGAACCUUACCCGGGCUUAAAUUGCAGAUGAAUUACGGUGAAAGCCGUAAGCCGCAAGGCAUCUGUGAAGGUGCUGCGUGGUUGUCGUCAGCUCGUGCCGUGAGGUGUCGGCUUAAGUGCCAUAACGAGCGCAACCCUUGUUGUCAGUUACUAACAGGUUCUGCUGAGGACUCUGACAAGACUGCCAUCGUAAGAUGUGAGGAAGGUGGGGAUGACGUCAAAUCAGCACGGCCCUUACGUCCGGGGCUACACACGUGUUACAAUGGGGGGUACAGAGGGCCGCUACCACGCGAGUGGAUGCCAAUCCCAAAAACCUCUCUCAGUUCGGACUGGAGUCUGCAACCCGACUCCACGAAGCUGGAUUCGCUAGUAAUCGCGCAUCAGCCACGGCGCGGUGAAUACGUUCCCGGGCCUUGUACACACCGCCCGUCAAGCCAUGGGAGCCGGGGGUACCUGAAGUGCGUAACCGCGAGGAGCGCCCUAGGGUAAAACUGGUGACUGGGGCU